rnacentral:rRNA from 1 species
GACGAACGCUGGCGGCGUGCUUAACACAUGCAAGUCGAACGAAGUGGCGAACGGGUGAGUAACGCGUAAUCAACCUGCACUUCAGAGGGGGACAACAGUGGGAAACGACUGCUAAUACCGCAUACUGAAGGAGGGGAUUGCGUCGGAUUAGCUAGUUGGAGGGGUAACGGCCCACCAAGGCGAUGACCAGUAGCCGGUCUGAUAGGAUGAACGGCCACAUUGGGACUGAGACACGGCCCAGACUCCUACGGGAGGCAGCAGUGGGGAAUCUUCCGCAAUGGACGAAAGUCUGACAGAGCAACGCCGCGUGAGUGAUGACGGCCUUCGGGUUGUAAAGGACUUUUGUCAGGGAAGCGGUACCUGAAGAAUAAGCACCGGCUAACUACGUGCCAGCAGCCGCGGUAAUAC